rnacentral:rRNA from 1 species
CCUACGGGGCGCAGCAGUGGGGAAUAUUGGACAAUGGGCGAAAGCCUGAUCCAGCCAUGCCGCGUGUGUGAAGAAGGCCUUCGGGUUGUAAAGCACUUUCAGUGGGGAAGAAAGCCUUGGGGCUAAUACCCUCGAGGAAGGACAUCACCCACAGAAGAAGCACCGGCUAACUCCGUGCCAGCAGCCGCGGUAAUACGGAGGGUGCGAGCGUUAAUCGGAAUUACUGGGCGUAAAGCGCGCGUAGGCGGUCUGAUAAGCCGGUUGUGAAAGCCCCGGGCUCAACCUGGGAACGGCAUCCGGAACUGUCAGGCUAGAGUGCAGGAGAGGAAGGUAGAAUUCCCGGUGUAGCGGUGAAAUGCGUAGAGAUCGGGAGGAAUACCAGUGGCGAAGGCGGCCUUCUGGACUGACACUGACGCUAAGGUGCGAAAGCGUGGGUAGCAAACAGGAUUAGAUACCCCUGUAGUC